UGUUUUCCAGUAGCUUAGUGGUUAGAACGUCCGAUUCGGGUGCGGAAGGUCGCGGGUUUGAUCCCCGGCCGAGUUAU